ACAAAACAAAAAGGGCCUAACUAAUGUGCACUUGGGCCCUAGGUCUACUGGGAGGCCCAACCCACACCCCACUCAUCUCCCUCCUCGCUACAGGAGCAGAGGGGGGAUCGUGGCGGCCAUCCCGCGGCCAUAGCCGCUCCCCUGCCGACGUGCCGGCCAUCCCGUGGCCUCCCCGACGCCUACCAGACCUGCCUCGCAGCGCCCCGAACCCUGAUCCCCUCAUUCUUUUUUCUAGUCUCUCUCCCUCGAUCUGAACCACGCCCAAGCUCCGUCGUCGACAUGUUGCCCUCGAUGUCACGGCCACCGUGCUCCCUGCGCCACGAGAAGACGUCCAGGAGGACCGCCAUCGAUGACUACUUCUUCUCCUAGCACCAGAACAAGCCGGGCCGCACCGAACGCUCGACAUCGAGCAAUUCCUCACCUGCGGCCAUCGCUUCUUGUCGCCGGUUGCCACUGCUCCGGGCCGCCCCCGACCUCCGAACCUCGUCCACAAGCACUAGGACCCCGAGACCGCUACUAAUGCCCCUGUGAUCGGCUACGUCAUCGACGACACUUCUACCCCUUUUCAAUGGAGCUUCCAGGAAAGCCCCCCCUUUGAUCAUCCCGAUGUCGCAACCAGAUGGUGGAGCCCAGAAUCCAGACGCAACCUUCGACGACAACUGCUACUACACUGAGGGUGCGUAACACUACGUGGAGGCCGCCGACGACCAGGAGUAGUUAGGAGGCUCCCAGGCAAGAGGCCUUGCCUUUUCGAUCGAUGUUGCUUUUGUGCUAGCCUUCUUAAGGCAAACAUGUCUAACUCAUGUUUGUACUCAGAUAAUGUUGCUUCCGCUGACUC